rnacentral:lncRNA from 1 species
ACAGAUUUUCAGUCAUACAAAAGGAAUGAUAGCAAGAUCAAAGAUGGUCAGUCAACUAGGGUAGAGGCUGACUUGCAUUUGUGACACUGUCUACACAAAGAAACAUCUUGCUUUUAAAGCAGUCAUGUUGGGAAGAAGAAACUAUGUUCUACAGUGUCCCAUCUGCAAUCCACAUGUGUUAUGGAAGGAAGGUGGUAACCAAGAAAAAGUACCCUGUGGGUGGAGAUGGACAAAAGAAUGGCAUUAUACAGCCCAGAAGAGUACCUCCAGACAUGGAGAUAGUGGAUUGGAUAAAGAACAAAAGUGUUCAAGGAAAGGAGUCUGCUCUGGAAUAAGGAUAAAAUCUGUGGCCACAGAACAGAACAAAGUUAAUUGAACAACAUCCAUGAAGUGACUUGGAGAGAUUUUGGUCUAUUAGCAAAGAAUAGUGAUCAAUCAGACAGUCUGGACCUGUGACAGUGGCUGGCACUAAAGAAAAAGUUCCAGGCUGAAGAGUGUGUGAAACUGAUCACCUCAAAGGGGGAGGGGCCCCAGGAGAGUGGAAUCUGGAGGAGGAGAAGGUUCUGGCUCCCAGGAGAGUGGAAUCUGGAGGAGGAGAAGGUUCUGGCUGAGAGAGCAGUUGGUCUCUCAGUAGGCAAGGGCCAAAGAGAGAAGGCGGAUUAAGACUUUCUCCUGAGGGUUAUCCACUUUUUCCUUCUUGAGGUUGGAACUCUUUCCCCCCAACACUUCCCAAUUGAAGGGAAUUUCUGAAGAGAAACCUGAGCAGACUUUACCUCAGCUCCUGUUGCCCAGGGGCAGUCAAUCUGACUUUCUCUCAGGGGGCUCAGGCUGCCAAGGCCUGAGUUCCCCCCAAAGUUGAGGAGAGAGGGAAAAGGGUUUUAGAUAGAGACAGGGACCCCCUUUUCCCACUUUCCUUUCCCAUUCUUUCCCUGCUAGUUAUUCUUUGUUAAUAAUCCCUGAUUAAGAUGGCAUUAAAAUAGUUAUCUGUUUAAAAAAAAAGGGUUUUAGAUAGAGACAGGGACCCCCUUCUCCCACCUUCCUUUCCCAUUCUUUCCCUGUCAGGUGUUCCUUUGUAUUAUCCUGAUUGGGUUAAGUUGACAUUAAAAUAGUUAUCUUUUCCCCAAGCUGUGUGUGAGUGAACAGAUCAAGGGAAGACCCUUUGGUCUCGAGUAGUGUGUGUAUGGGGCAGGGAGGGGGGGCAAAAGGAACAAGAGCAGAUCUGGGAGAUCAGCCUUAGCUAAGGAGGGCAGGCAAAAGGGGGAAAAUCUUCAAACCCCCUCUCCUCUCUCUGAGUCAACCUUAAACAUCAGCUGUUUCCCCUGAACCCUGCUUUGAGAAGGGUGGGUCUCCACUCUUCCCCUCUCUCUCUAGUCUGAAAGACUGAACCCCUCUGAUACAAAUUAACCUCCCCUUGAAAACAGAC